rnacentral:lncRNA from 10 species
GGUUAUUUUUUGCAUCCUCCAGCAAAAUGUAAGCCAAGUGAAGAAUGAGGUAUCGUUUUGUUCAUCAAGGAAUCCACAGAAACCAGAACAUUCUGUAGCAGAAGGACAGAAUAACGGGCUCCCAGAUUCACAAGCCCCACCAAGAGGAUCACCCCAGGAACGCUUGGAGGCUGAGGAGUUCACUGAGGCUACUGCAUCUUGAGACUCAGGAUGAAGACCCAGCUUGGGGCUGUCAAAGGUUUUUUGCAUGUCUGACACCCAUGACUCCACCUGGACCUUAUGGCUCCACCCAGAAGCAAUUCAGCCCAACAGGAGGACAGCUUCAACCCAUUACGAUUUCAUCUCUGCCCCAACCACUCAGCAGCAAGCACCUGUUACCUGUCCACCCCCACCCCUUCCCCCAAACUGCCUUUGAAAAAUCCCUAACCUAUGAGCUUUGAAUAAGAUGAGUACGAACUUCAUCGCCCACGUGGCGUGGCCGGCCUCGUGUCUAUUAAAUUC